UACGUAGGGACCAAGCGUUGUUCGGAUUUACUGGGCGUAAAGGCGCGUAGGCGGCAAUUCAAGUCAGCUGUGAAAUCUCUGGGCUUAACCCAGAACGGCCAGCUGAUACUGCUUUGCUAGAGUGCAGAAGGGGCAAUCGGAAUUCUUGGUGUAGCGGUGAAAUGACGCAGAUAUCGGGAGGAACACCGGUGGCGAAGGCGGCGACCUGGGUAGAUACUGACGCUGAGGCGCGAAAGCGUGGGGAGCAAACAGG
rnacentral:rRNA from 1 species